CCUACGGGAUGCUGCAGUGGGGAAUAUUGGACAAUGGGCGAAAGCCUGAUCCAGCCAUGCCGCGUGUGUGAAGAAGGCCUUCGGGUUGUAAAGCACUUUCAGUGGGGAAGAAAGCCUUGGGGCUAAUACCCUCGAGGAAGGACAUCACCCACAGAAGAAGCACCGGCUAACUCCGUGCCAGCAGCCGCGGUAAUACGGAGGGUGCGAGCGUUAAUCGGAAUUACUGGGCGUAAAGCGCGCGUAGGCGGUCUGAUAAGCCGGUUGGGAAAGCCCCGGGCCCAACCUGGGAACGGCAUCCGGAACGGUCAGGCUAGAGUGCAGGAGAGGAAGGUAGAAUUCCCGGUGUAGCGGUGAAAUGGGUAGAGAUCGGGAGGAAUACCAGUGGCGAAGGCGGCCUUAUGGACUGACACUGACGCUGAGGUGCGAAAGCGUGGGUAGCAAACAGGAUUAGAUACCCCGGUAGUC
rnacentral:rRNA from 1 species